rnacentral:rRNA from 1 species
UACGGAGGGGGCUAGCGUUGUUCGGAAUUACUGGGCGUAAAGCGCGCGUAGGCGGCUUUGUAAGUUAGAGGUGAAAGCCCGGAGCUCAACUCCGGAACUGCCUUUAAGACUGCAUCGCUAGAAUUGUGGAGAGGUGAGUGGAAUUCCGAGUGUAGAGGUGAAAUUCGUAGAUAUUCGGAAGAACACCAGUGGCGAAGGCGACUCACUGGACGACUGUUGACGCUGAGGUGCGGAAGCGUGGGGAGCAAACAGG